rnacentral:lncRNA from 1 species
AGAGGACGAGGAGAGCAAGAGGGACCGCCAGGGACUACUCAGGCAGUGGACAGUUCCAUGGCUUCUUCUAAGAGAACAAGGCAGUCAAGAAGAGUCAGGUCCAUUUGGGAAGAGAGACGUCCAUGGCCUCGGCCACCAGGUGGCAUCACUGUCCCUUCUGGAAGAGCAGCGUGUCUGGGAAGCCACAUCCGUCUACAGCUCCCGUUCCUCCCUAGCCUCCACUCUAGGGCAAGGGCCCAGCCUUUCACUAGGAGGCCUCACUCCCUGAACCCGAGGCACCGGCUCCGCCUCCUCCCCUCACAGUCCUCAUGUGUCGUCAGUCCCGCUCCGAGGAGCACCUCAUUUCUGUUGCCCAUCACCACUCCUCUUAG